CAAUACCCGUUUAUCCUGCGGGAGGCCACUGCUAUCGGAGUCCGACUAAGCCAUGCAAGUCGGCUGUCCAGCUUCGGCUGGAUGGCGGCGAACUGCUCAGUAACACGUCGCUAACCUACCCUAGGGUCCGGGAUAACCUCGGGAAACUGAGGCUAAUCCCGGAUAGGAAAAGGGUUCUGCAAUGACCCUUUUCUGAAAGCAGCUUUGCUGUGCCCUAGGAUGGGGCGGCGGCCCAUCAGGUUGUUGGUGGGGUAACGGCCCACCAAGCCUAAGACGGGUACGGGUCCUGAGAGGGAUAGCCCGGAGAAGGGACCUGAGACACUGUCCCUAGCCCUACGGGGUGCAGCAG
rnacentral:rRNA from 1 species